AGAGUUUGAUCCUUGCUCAGGACGAACGCUGGCGGCGUGCUUAACACAUGCAAGUCGAACGAGAAUCUACUGAAAGAGUUUUCGGACAAUGGAUGUAGAGGAAAGUGGCGGACGGGUGAGUAACGCGUGAGGAACCUGCCUUGAAGAGGGGGACAACAGUUGGAAACGACUGCUAAUACCGCAUGACGCAUAGAGGUCGCAUGAUCUUUAUGCCAAAGACUUAUCGCUUCAAGAUGGCCUCGCGUCUGAUUAGCUGGUUGGCGGGGUAACGGCCCACCAAGGCGACGAUCAGUAGCCGGACUGAGAGGUUGAACGGCCACAUUGGGACUGAGAUACGGCCCAGACUCCUACGGGAGGCAGCAGUGGGGAAUAUUGGGCAAUGGGCGCAAGCCUGACCCAGCAACGCCGCGUGAAGGAAGAAGGCUUUCGGGUUGUAAACUUCUUUUAAGAGGGAAGAGCAGAAGACGGUACCUCUAGAAUAAGCCACGGCUAACUACGUGCCAGCAGCCGCGGUAAUACGUAGGUGGCAAGCGUUGUCCGGAUUUACUGGGUGUAAAGGGCGUGCAGCCGGGUCUGCAAGUCAGAUGUGAAAUCCAUGGGCUCAACCCAUGAACUGCAUUUGAAACUGUAGAUCUUGAGUGUCGGAGGGGCAAUCGGAAUUCCUAGUGUAGCGGUGAAAUGCGUAGAUAUUAGGAGGAACACCAGUGGCGAAGGCGGAUUGCUGGACGAUAACUGACGGUGAGGCGCGAAAGUGUGGGGAGCAAACAGGAUUAGAUACCCUGGUAGUCCACACUGUAAACGAUGA
rnacentral:rRNA from 1 species